rnacentral:tRNA from 1 species
GAGGAUGUAGCUCAGUGGUAGAGUGCAUGCUUUGUGUGUAUGAGUCCCUGGGUUCAAUCCCCGGCAUCUCUG